rnacentral:rRNA from 1 species
GGAAUAUUGGUCAAUGGGGGCAACCCUGAACCAGCCAAGUCGCGUGAAGGAUGAAGGUCUUAUGGAUUGUAAACUUCUUUUACACGGGAAUAAAGCGGGGGACGUGUCCCUCUUUGCAUGUACCGUGUGAAUAAGCAUCGGCUAACUUCGUGCCAGCAGCCGCGGUAAUACGAAGGAUGCAAGCGUUAUCCGGAAUUAUUGGGUUUAAAGGGUGCGUAGGCGGACUAAUAAGUCAGUGGUGAAAGCCUGCAGCUUAACUGCAGAAUUGCCAUUGAUACUAUAGGUCUUGAAUUAUCUGGAGGUAAGCGGAAUAUGUCAUGUAGCGGUGAAAUGCUUAGAUAUGACAUAGAACACCAAUUGCGAAGGCAGCUUACUACAUAUAAAUUGACGCUGAGGCACGAAAGCGUGGGGAUCAAACA